rnacentral:tRNA from 1 species
UUUCUGAUGGCCUAAUGGUCAGGUUCAGUACUCUCAGCACUGCAGCCCUGGUUCAAUUCCUGGUGAGGGAA